GACGAACGCUGGCGGCGUGCUUAACACAUGCAAGUCGAACGGAAAGGCCCUGCUUUUGUGGGGUGCUCGAGUGGCGAACGGGUGAGUAACACGUGAGUAACCUGCCCUUGACUUUGGGAUAACUUCAGGAAACUGGGGCUAAUACCGGGUAGGAGCUCCUGCUGCAUGGUGGGGGUUGGAAAGUUUCGGCGGUUGGGGAUGGACUCGCGGCUUAUCAGCUUGUUGGUGGGGUAGUGGCUUACCAAGGCUUUGACGGGUAGCCGGCCUGAGAGGGUGACCGGCCACAUUGGGACUGAGAUACGGCCCAGACUCCUACGGGAGGCAGCAGUGGGGAAUAUUGCACAAUGGGCGGAAGCCUGAUGCAGCAACGCCGCGUGCGGGAUGACGGCCUUCGGGUUGUAACCCGCUUUCGCCUGUGACGAAGCGUGAGUGACGGUAAUGGGUAAAGAAGCACCGGCUAACUACGUG
rnacentral:rRNA from 1 species